GAAUUGUGGCUCAGUGGUAAAGCACUUGUCUCACAUGUGUGAGGCACUGAGUUUGAUUCUCAGCAACA
rnacentral:tRNA from 1 species